rnacentral:lncRNA from 1 species
UCUUCCCAUGUUUUUCUCAUUAUGACCUCAGCUGGGAUGGGGCACACACAUGCAUUUCUACUUAAGUGCUUCUUCCUGGGCACAAACCAGCUCUUGGCACGUGUGUGCUUUUAUGCCCCAAAUCGGAACCCUGUUCUCCUCUCGUGUGUCUUCUGAGGUGUGUUUGACUAGGCAACCUUGAUUUCAUCCCUGUAGUGACUGAAAUGUCAGGGCUGUACUGCCGUAUGGUAUAGCACAUCAUUUACAGAAGCUCCUGCACACAAAGCUCUGUGAUUGGGUUUUGGUUAACCCUUGGCUCACUCAAUAAGCCUACCCCCAUCAGAGGGAAUGCAGGUAGCUGCAUUUCUCCGAUGCCCUUGUUAAGGAAAAAGCACAAACGUGUGUGACUCAAAGUCCCUGAGAAUAUGUGCAAUCCUCUACAAGGAUUCUAGCUGUAUUAGAACAGGAAACUCCCCUACAGUGGUCUCCGUGAAUCCAAAGAACACAUUGCAAGCUGGUGCUUUUCUCAAGUUCAUCUGCCUCUCCCUCCUUUUCCCUCCCUCCCACCCCCCCCCUUUCCUCUCCUGCCUUUUCCUACAGACUAGAGGCAGAACUGCUUUGUGCCUGUUAAGCACUAUGAGCUGUGCCCCCAUCUUGCCUUUUGUAAGGAACGUCUGUGUUCCCAUUUGUUUUCCAUCUCAACAAACCAAACAAUACUUCUCUCUGGGAGUCCUUCACUUAAGCAUAUUAAUUGCUUUUUCUUCACCUGAUGCCCCCAGUGAGCCCUUUGAAGGGGAGGGAAAAGCUGGUUCCCUUCCUUCCCUUAAUUUAGUGAGGUCCUAAGGACUGGCCUCUUCUGCUUGGCUUUGAACUUCUGAUCACCAAGCUCCUACCUGUCAGUUAACUGGCACCUGAGCAGCUGCAAGGAGCCAAGAAGUUUGAGUCAUGCCUGCCUCUUUGCAGGACACAGUGUCCUUGAGAGGCGCAAGGCCAGGCCUGUCUGUGCCUCACUUUGCUCCUGUGCCGUGCCACCUGCUUCCUCCUGCCUCCUCCUUCGGAGGAAAUGGAGAUGGCUCCGAGGAGGCAAAUGUUCCAGAACACCCAGGAAAUUAGGCUUUGCCUCUUGCCUAUGACCACCAGUCAUUAACUCUUCUUUGCUCGAGUAGAAAACAAUAUUAAUUCUUACAGGAACCUCCUGGCUAUUUUUGCAGUGAAGAAAAUAACUAUGUUCAUUUGAGAGACUGUAAGUAAGGCCCUUGCAUUGACUGCAUGGAAACUGUGUUGCUUCCAUAAGAGAAGCAGGAAACCCUUCCUAGGCGUCUACAACCUCCACGGGUGCUUUCUGGGCUGGCCCUCACUGUCAGCUCUGCUGCAGGGUCUGCUGUGCUGAUUAUGUUCAAAUUCAUUCUAGACUCAAGCUGGGACUCAACGGGAAACAGUGGCUUUCUGCAGGGCUCAAACAUGUGGGCUGACUGCUUAGGAAAGGCUAUGUCUGACCUCCAUUGUAUGAGUCAGAAGGAGGCUGCCUCUGUAUCUGCUGCCUAAAGCCACAUAGGUGGGCUUUUAUGUUCUCAGCACACGCUGUCAUUCAGGUAAAUAUAAUAAAACAUACAUGUGCACAAAUACACACACAUACAAACAUAGGUGCACAUAUAUCCACAUGUGCACAUACAAGAACACACAUGUGCACACACACACACACACAUACAUAUAUAUGCGCACACAGCAUGCACAUAUACAUGCAUACCUUCCCUGUAACAAGCACAGAAGCCUUUUUAGAUGUCUUCCUUGAAGUGGGGUGGAAGCAAGCCCUAAGCCCUGGAGAAAGGAGCCAAGAACCCUGUUUUUCUUAGUUCUGGGCCUGCUGGCAGUAAGCCACCUAUGGGCUCACUCACUCUUUUGUCCCCCAAAAUAUGAGCCAUCCACACUGGUUACAAGUGGGAGAUGAGGACAUUGGGGAGCAGCACUUUUGGCCAGGGAUGUUGGUGGGAGGAAGGAGGGGUGAGGCUUCUUGAAAAUGCAUUCUCCUGGAGCUGGCUGGUUCCCUAAGCCCCCCCCCCCCCACCACUGAAGUGCAUAACUCAGGCUUCCCUUGCUCCUUACUGAGUCAUGCUCUUUGGGGUGUGCUAGGACAAAAGGCAAUCUGGCUAAAGUUUGUCAGUCUCCAGCCAUGUGUGGAAACGCCACGCAUGACCUCUGGGUCAUGUUCUGUGGUCACUUAUUCUCCUUCUGGAGGGAGCUGUUAGGAAAUCGAACCCCAGGAAGGUUUGGAAAGAGCCUGGCCCUGGGACCCAUGGGUGAGGAAAGUCCUGAUGCUGGGCUGAUGAGCCUGCCACUCCCUUAGCUCACCUCUGCCUGCAUCUCUUUCCCACUGAUGGUCUUCCUCUGGGGCAGCUGAAACCCUGCGUCCUGUCCCUGAGCUGCCUGGAGAGGAUGGCUGACGCCACAUCAGUUACCUUCCAUUGCUGCAAGAAGAUGCCCGAGGAAGCUGACAAGGAAGUCCAGGUCUCUCUCCAUCAGAGCCGAUGAGAAGUUCAGACCUCACACACCGCUGUUCAUGUGCUAGGACCAUCUUCUACCCAUGGUAUUCUGAUGACCAAAUGCAUGG